UUCUUUGAAUUUUCAUUAAAUCCAUAUCCGUAUAUAAUUUCUGAAAUAUUUACAUUAUUCUGAAAAUAAGAAUAUGGGUACUAUUAUUCGAUUCAAUGGCGUACCCAGACAUGAGGCCUGGGGGGAUAAAGAAAAAAUUUUGGUUAUUCGUUUCUGUUGUCCUUUGAAUUUACAGACACUUCUUGAAAUUGAUUUUCAUCUAUCGAAGGGUCAGCUGUUGUACUUAAACGCGAAAAACUAAGGUUCGCCUGCAUCAAUUUUCCUUCUUUUGAAGAAGUUUUCCAAAGAAGUUUGUUUACUCAUAAAAAGAUCGUGAUAGAUAAAGGUAGGUUGAGACUUAUGAUGGAUAGAUAGAUAUAUAUAUAUAGAUAGAUAGAUAUAUAGAUAUAUUCAUCUCAAGUAUUUACAGAUGCUGUCAAAAUAUAUGUAUAUAAUAAAUAUAAGUACAUGUUCACACGUUACAAAUUUCACAGUAGGAUAUAAUCAACGACAAAAUAAACAAUUUUUCGUGAGAAUGACUAGAUUUAUGGGACUGAAACUCAUCCAUCGAGUAGAAUACAUUUUUUUAAACAAGCUCUUUAUUUUUUCUUGAAGGCAUUUUAAUGUAGUGAUGUCAGGCUAUCCGGUAGUUUGUUAUAGAGUUUUAGGCUGUUAUAUAUGUGCAUGUUUCUCGUUUUCUCCAGUCUAUGUAAAGAAGGUACAUAUUUGUCCUUGAAUCGCGUGUUGUGACCGUGAACGUUCAAGUGUUUCUGGAACCUGUUUCCGCUCCCAUGCACAUAUAAGAGGCACUUCAUGAUGUAACAGCAUGAAACAGUAAGUAUACCAUAUUUUUUGAAAAAUGGUCUACAGCUUGUCAUCCGACCUUCCCCUGCUACUAUUCUCAUAGCAUUUUUCUGUUUCAGGAAUAUCCUUCCCGCUUCCGAGGACGCCCCCCAAACAAUGAUGCCAUAGGUCAUCCGUCCGUGGAAUUGAGCAUGGUACACAAUCAGGGCUUCUUUUUCUGUGAGAAAGUUCUUUAUGUUUCUAAUUGCGAAGAGUGCUGUUGAAAGUUUGUCAGACAAUUCGUUCACAUGCUGAUCUCAACCUAGGUUUCCGCUGAUUGAUAAUCCAAGCAGAGAUAUACUAUCUUUGUUUCAUCAUUUGGUGGUAAUUACGAGCUCCUUCAUUUUAUCAGCAUUUACACUCAUACUGUUGUUUAUGAACCAACCAAUAGCAUCAUCUAUGGAUUUUUUAGAUUUCGCCUGAAGUAUACUUUCCACUUUAUCUCUAUUUAGAAAGGAGACAUCAUCCGCAAAGAGCACUACGUCAUCCACCACAACAUUAUGCACCAAGUCAUCGAUGUAAAGGACAAAUAAAAUUGGUCCAAGCACCGAUCCCUGGGGAACUCCUUGGGUGACUCUGCAUUUGGAAGAUAUUUUUCCAUCAAGGUCUACUAUUUGGUAACGAUCGUGCAAGUAAGAUUUUAUCAGACCAAGAGCUGGCCCUCGGACCCCAACAUACUCCAACUUGGAUAAGAGUUUUUGGUGUUCCACGCAAUCAAAUGCCUUACUCAAAUCUAUGCAGGUUAACAUCACUUCAUCUGUGCUGUCUAAUGCGUCCAUAAUGAACUCUGUCAUCUGGAUUAUGGCCGUUAUCGUGGAUCUUCCCUUCCUGAAGCCAUGUUGCUGACCUGAAAGCUACAUGCUCUCCUCCAAGAACGAGAGCCAUCUUGUUUUGAUUAGGGACUUGAGAACCUUAGAAAUGGCUGGUAGUAUAGAUAUGGGCCUAUAAUUUUCAUUAGAUUUUUUCUCCCUUCUUAUGCACAGGUAAUACUCUUGACAGUUUCCAUUCAUCCGGGAAAUAUCCUUGCUCAAGACAAGCAUUCAUCAGAUGUGUGAGUGGGUCCACCAGAUAGUCAAUCGUCUCCUUGAGUAAUCUCACCGACAAGCCAUAAAUAUCUUUUGAGGAUUUGUUGUUAAACUCCGAAACCGUUCUCAUUACUUCAUCUUUCGUCGUUGGCAGCAGGAAACAGGAUUUCAUACUAUUCACCUUUUUGUUCUUCAAAAGGUUGUCACACCUUCCUGGAUCGGUUUUCUGUGUAUUUAGUCUCUCUGCAAUAGUGGCAAAGUAGCAGUUGAAUUUUUCCUCAGACUUCUAUUAUUUAUGACUUUCCAUAUAGCCCGACUCUUGUUUUCCGAUUGGUUUAGGAAUUCCAUAUCCCUGUUCUUGAUGGUAUCCGUUAAGCCCGCCACUCACGAAGCGUUUUUUCGAGACUUUGAACGCCAAGCGUCCAAGAGAUUCCAGUCGGACAGUCAAGUUCAUUCUCUGAUUUACAGUCGUGCGGUCGUGUCCCGAUCUGCCCGAAUGUGAAAUUAUCCGAACGCUCGAACAUGGGAGCCUCGUGGGUGGCCGCCUUUACUAGUUGCUUCAGCUUCAAUUUCAUUUCUUUAUAGACUUUAAACGAAUCUUCAUCCCUUCUGACCUGAAAUAUCGUGUGGGUAGCAUCUACCUUAUUUUUCAGAUCCAUAAUUUCAGUAUUUUCCCAAAUUUUUUUGCUGCGAUCAUUCUUCUUUAUAAUUUUUGUUUCAGGGAAACACCGGUGGAAUAAAUUCAAAACAGUGUCGUGAAAACUCUUACACUGCCUACGAACACAGUUCCCAUUCAUAAAACCCCAAUCAACAUCUUUCAAUCCUUCUCGAAACAGGAGGGUUUUCCUUCGGAAUCUCCAACUUCUGUCCCUCAUGGUCCGAAAUGUGGUAAUCAAUUGUUUGCGCUACAUAACUCGCACUGUCCAUAUUAGUAAAUAUGUUGUCAAUGCAAUUCGCAGAUGUAAGCGUUACACGAGAUGGCUCGCUAAAUAUUAUAUGCAGACCAUAUGACAGUAGUA